rnacentral:rRNA from 1 species
GACGAACGCUGGCGGCGUGCCUAACACAUGCAAGUCGAACGAGACGGUCCGGCCUUUGUGCGGACGUCUGCGUACCGCCUGGUAACCUACCCGUAGGUUCCGAAUAACUCCCCUAGGGGGAUCCUCAUGCAGGUUAAUGUAUUCGGGGCAAGGAUCUAUGGCGCUUGGGUGGGGGCGCGUUAGAUUCGCUGGUUGGUAGGGUAAUAGCCUACCAAGGCCACGAUCCAUAGCUGGUCUGAGAGGAUGACAAGCUAGAAUGGGACUGCGACACGGGCCAGAAUCCGACGCGAGGCAGCAGUGGGGAAUAUUGGAGAAUGAGCGCAAGCCUGAUACAGCAACGUCGCGUGAGUGAUGAAGGCGUUAGUAUUGUAAAGCUCUUUUAGCCGGGAUGAGAAUGACAGUAACGGGAGAAGAAGCACCGGCUAACUACGUG